rnacentral:rRNA from 1 species
CCCUUAGAUGUUCUGGGCCGCACGCGCGCUACACUGAUGCAUUCAACGAGUUUCUUCCUGGUCCGAGAGGAAUGGGUAACCUUUUGAAAGUGCAUCGUGAUAGAGAUAGACUAUUGCAAUUAUUGGUCUUCAACGAGGAAUUCCUAGUAGACGUAGUUCAUCAGACUGCAUCGAUUACGUCCCUGCCCUUUGUACACACCGCCCGUCGCUCCUACCGAUUGAAUGCUCAGGUGAGCCAUUCGGACUUUCAUCAUGCUGGUUUCCAGUUUUGAUGAAGGAAAGUCUUGCGAACCUUAUCAUUUAGAGGAAGGAGAAGUCGUAACA